AACGAACGCUGGCGGCAGGCCUAACACAUGCAAGUCGAGCGAAGCCUUCGGGCUUAGCGGCGGACGGGUGAGUAACGCGUGGGAACGUGCCCUUUGGUACGGAAUAGCCCCGGGAAACUGGGAGUAAUACCGUCUGUGCCCUUCGGGGGAUAGAUUUAUCGCCAAAGGAUCGGCCCGCGUUGGCUUAUGUAGUUGGUGGGGUAAGGGCCUACCAAGCCGACGUUCCAUAGCUGGGUUGGACGGAUGAUCAGCCACACUGGGACAGAGACACGGGCCAGUAUCCUACGGGAAGCAUCCGUGGAGAAUCUUGGACAAUGGGGGAAACCCUGAUCUAGCCAUCACGCGUAGUCGAUGAGGGCCGUAGAGUUAUAAAGAUCUUUCAGUGGGGAAGAUAAUGACUGUACCCACAGAAGAAGCCCCGGCUAACUCCGUGCCAGCAGCCGCCGUAACAC
rnacentral:rRNA from 1 species